rnacentral:rRNA from 1 species
UAUCUCUGUAGAGUCUGCAUAUCAAUAAGCGGAGGAAAAGAAACUAACUAGGAUUCCCUUAGUAACGGCGAGUGAAGCGGGAAGAGCUCAAAUUUGAAAUCUUCAAGGUUUUACCUUGACGAAUUGUAGUUUAAAGAAGUGUUUUCUGUUGGAUGUUUUGGUAAAAGUUCUUUGGAAUAGGACAUCAUAGAGGGUGAGAAUCCCGUAUUUGACCAUUACUUUCCAGCUUUGUGAUACACUUUCAAAGAGUCGGAUUGUUUGGGAAUGCAGUCCAAAAUGGGUGGUAAAUUUCAUCUAAAGCUAAAUAUUGGCGAGAGACCGAUAGCGAACAAGUACCGUGAGGGAAAGAUGAAAAGAACUUUGAAAAGAGAGUUAAACAGUACGUGAAAUUGUCAAAAGGGAAGCGUUUGACACCAGUGUUGUUUUCUCGAAAAUCAAUUAAAAAUGUGUUGGGAUUUUGUAUUGUUAAGACCUUAUCAGCUUACUGUACUCUUUUCCUGCUCUUUUUAAUGCACUUUUCGUUUAACAAGUCAACAUCAAUUUCUUUUGUUGUAAAAGAGUCAUUGGAAGGUGGCUUUCACUUCGGUGAAAGUGUUUAUAGCCUUUGGCUUCUGCAAUCGGAGAGAUUGAGGUCUGCAGCGUAGAUCCUUCGGGGCUAGAUACGUAGAUGCUAAGUUAUAGUUUUUUAUAGACAACUUGUUGACUAUGUUUAGUCAUGUGGCUUACCCGCUGGCGCUAUUUUACCUACGCUUAGGAUGUUGAGUCAUCACACAUCUCU